GCGGGACAUAUUGGAAAUCGGUAAGUAGUAGUUUUUUCCCCCCAAAAGGUGUGUCGAAAGCAGGAUCAGAACACUUGUUUGACUUUUUUUCUAUAAUGUUUUUGUGUUUACUUGUGUGAAAGAAAGCUUUUUCCUAAAUCUAUAUAAAAUUCAAAGGUUAAUCCAGAAAGAUGUUCCGUCAGUUACACGGAGUUGAAGGAACGUAUAUCCAUGAAGGUUAUCCUGGAUGACCUGAAACUUUAUAUGAUAAAGGUAAGUCUUUUUUAAUUUUUU
rnacentral:lncRNA from 1 species